UGGGGAAUAUUGGACAAUGGGCGCAAGCCUGAUCCAGCCAUGCCGCGUGAGUGACGAAGGUCUUCGGAUUGUAAAGCUCUUUUGGCGGGGAAGAUAAUGACGGUACCCGCAGAAUAAGCCCCGGCUAACUUCGUGCCAGCAGCCGCGGUAAUACGAAGGGGCGUAGCGUUGUUCGGAAUCACUGGGCGUAAAGCGCACGUAGGCGGAUGUGCCAGUCAGGGGUGAAAUCCCGGAGCUCAACUUCGGAACUGCCUCUGAUACAGCACGUCUUGAGUCCGGAAGAGGUGGGUGGAAUUCCUAGUGUAGAGGUGAAAUUCGUAGAUAUCAGGAGGAACACCGAUGGCGAAGGCAGGUCUCUGGGCCAUUACUGACACUGAGAAGCGAAAGCAUGGGGAGCGAACAGGAUUAGAUACC
rnacentral:rRNA from 1 species